AACGAACGCUGGCGGCAUGCCUAACACAUGCAAGUCGAACGCGUGGCUUCGGCCACGAGUGGCGCACGGGUGAGUAACGCGUGGGAACCUGCCCAUGGGUACGGAACAACCGCGGGAAACUGCGGCUAAUACCGUAUAAGCCCUUCGGGGGAAAGAUUCAUCGCCGAUGGAGGGGCCCGCGUCGGAUUAGGUAGUUGGUGGGGUAACGGCCUACCAAGCCGCCGAUCCGUAGCUGGUCUGAGAGGAUGAUCAGCCACACCGGGACUGAGACACGGCCCAGACUCCUACGGGAGGCAGCAGUGGUGAAUAUUUGACAAUGGGCCCAAGCCUGAUCCAGCAUUGCCGCGUGAGUGAAGAAGGCCUUAGGGUUGUAAAGCUCUUUCGGCGGGGACGAUGAUGACGGUACCCGCAGAAGGAGCCCCGGCUAACUCCGUGCCAGCAGCCGCCGUAAGAC
rnacentral:rRNA from 1 species